UGCGCGAGUGGUGGAAUUGGUAGACACGCUACUUUGAGGGGGUAGUGCCGGUUACGGUGUAUGAGUUCAAAUCUCAUCUCGCGUACUUC
rnacentral:tRNA from 1 species